rnacentral:rRNA from 1 species
AUACGGAGGAUCCGAGCGUUAUCCGGAUUUAUUGGGUUUAAAGGGUGCGUAGGUGGUUUGAUAAGUCAGUUGUGAAAGUUUGCGGCUCAACCGUAAAAUUGCAGUUGAUACUGUUAUUCUUGAGUGUACAUAAGGUAGGCGGAAUUCGUGGUGUAGCGGUGAAAUGCUUAGAUAUCACGAAGAACUCCAAUUGCGAAGGCAGCUUACCGGGGUACAACUGACGCUGAGGCACGAAAGUGUGGGUAUC